GCCUAUAAUGGCUGCUUUCUUCUGAGCUCUCAUGACAUGGUGUCAGAAGUCUGAGUUUGAAUCCACAAACUUUUGAAAUGGCUCACUUUCCUAUACCAGACGCUUUCAGCUUUGACAAUCCUGCCACAUGUCCAGAAUGGAAAAAAAAGAUUUGCUUGCUUCAGACUAGCUACAAAGCUCCACAAAGGAGAAGGCAUUGGUCAAUCAGAAAUCUGCAGAACAAAGUGGACAUUCUGGAAUCCUGAGAGAGGAAAGGCUGUCAGCCAACUCCCUGACACGUCAGCUGGUGAACAGUGACCUGCUUUCCAUUCCAGUCCAGAUGCAAGAUGUAUGUUUGUUUGUUUAAUUAUUUUAUUUUAUUUUAUUUUAUUUAUUUUAUUUAUAUACCGCCCUUCCAAAAAUAGCUCAGGGCGGUUUUAUUUAUUUAUUUAUUUAUUUGACAUAUUUUUAUA